AUGGCCACCUUUCUUUGAAAGUAAAAACAUCAUUAUAUUAGUAAGCAUUUCACGUUAGCCUAUCCUUUUACACACUUGAUGAACAUCAUUAUAUUAGCAAGCAGCAAGCAUUUCACGUUUUGGAAAGAUUAGCAACGUUAACGCUGUUGUGUUUUAUUUAUUUCAAGGAAGAAUAAUGUAAUCUUUCUCAAGAACAACGUAUGGAUUUUGCUUUAUAUUUAGAUCUCGUUGUUCCGUUCUGUCGUGUUGUCGAAUUCGGGCUUUCUUCGAAGUGAAGUAAGGUGGAAGAAGAUUAAUUUUUUGGCAUAUGAGAUUGGGAAGCCCGGGAUCUGAUUUGUGGUUAGCUUGGAGCGGAUAAGGUACAGACGCUCGAUUCGGUGAUCCCUCAGCUUAGGAUUUCCAGUCAGCUAUCAUGGAGAACUCCGUUGUUCCGGAGCCUAGACUUUUGGUACAGAUCUUCUGAUGUAUUUAUAUAUGGUUGUCCAGGGGUACGACGGGGCCCUGUCCCGUCAUAUUUUACUAUGAUACUCGUAGAGGUCUGUAGACAUAUGUGGGUUGUGUAUGGGUUAUGGUCAGCUGUGUCAAUAUGAUUUGUUCUGGAUAUUCCCGU